rnacentral:lncRNA from 1 species
AGGCAGGAUGUAACCACGGCAUAUGGAAGUUCCCAGUCUAGGAGUCAGGUCACAUUGGGGCUGUAGCUGCCAGCCUAUGCUACAGCCACAGCAAUGCGGACUAUGAGACAAGUUUGCGACCUGCACUGCAGCUCAUGGCAUCCUUGACCCACUGCGCGAGGCUGGGGAUUGAACCUGCAUCCUCAUGGAUACUAGGCAAGUUUGUUUCCAUGGAGCCACAGCUCCUUAGGUUCUGUUUCCCUCUUUAGGAAAUUCUAUGAGUGAGAAGCUGCCUAGUGUCUUACCAGCCUUUAUAGCCACUCUUAGCUGUUAGUAAACAUUUUAGCCUGAUUUUCCAUUGUUUGAUUCAAGUUGAAUCAGAGAGAUAGAGCUUCCGUUCAUUGGAAGGAAAUAAUGGCGCACCUUUGGGGAAAUGCUUAUCAAAGAUUUUGUAAAGAAGCAUGUAUUUGCAUAUAUUUUUGGUAACCGUCUGUGCCUGUUCGAAGUUAGACACCAAAAGAAAAUUCGGAACAGACAUACACAGAGAAUCAUUACUUUGUAAAAGCGUAGAAAAGCGUUGAUGGCCUCUGUAAUUUUAGUAUAGAAGAGACAGCCUACUUGAUAUUAAUAUUAUAGCAGCUAAAAUAUAUUAGAAAAAUAAAAUAAAAGGAAAAAAAAAAUUAAAAUGUAUUAGAAAAAUUGAAAAGUGCAGGUGAUUAGCUUUGUCAUCAGUUUUGGGUCCCAGUGUAGCUUCCUACUAUUAUUUAAGGAAAAUGGAAACAGGAGGGAUGUUGAAGAAGUAAAUUGUCUUGCUGUUUGUACCACGAGUUUUGUAGCGGUCUGUAGUGUGCUAUCUGGACAGUUAUUUAUUUUUUAGGUUGAGAUUUGGCUUCCUUUGGCUCUUAAAAGAAACCCUAUACCGUGUAUUCAGUAUUCACUAAGUCAUGUUUCUGGUAAGCAUAUCCUCCCUGGCCAAGAAGGCAGUUCCUCAGGAGUUUCUUUAUGAUGAGUUAAACAGGGAAAUGAUAAACAACUAAGGGUGAAAGGCCUUCCAAACACUGGGGCAAGUUGAUUGUCUGGGUCUUUGAAAGGGAAAUUUACAUUGAGGUGAUGACACCUUCUGUUCCCAAGAAAGCGCCUUAUGUCUUUACUCCGGAGCCUUGUGGUUCAGCCAGGACUUCGAAGGUCUAAGAAAUAUUUCUGAGCGUGUGUUUACACAUUAGAGAAAUGAAGAGGUGUGCCCUGGCUUUCCAGACAACUCUGGGGCAUGUCUCCAUGGAGUCUUCAUCAAGAGAGGGAGACUUGAGCCGGAAACAACUGGAUUUGUGGAUGGUAGGAAGACACUGGAAGCAGCCUUUCAGAAUGGAUUUAUUACACCAGGACACUCGUCCUCUGGACCUUGUCUUUGUUAAUUGGGUUGUGCAUUCAGCAGACACUCUGUGCUCAUGGAGCCUUUGCAAGCACUGUGUCAGGCAAUCCUGAAAUAAGAGCAGCUCAUACGACAGCAUCUGUGCCCUAGUGAAACAUGGGCACAGGAGCAAAGAAUUUGUGUAGAGCAGUAAGUGCUCCAACAGAGGUUUGUACAAGGUACAGUGAUGUAUCUGGAAGUAAAGAUUUAUUAGCUCUUUUCCUGAUGUUCAGGAGAACAUGUAAGUAAGUUGGUUUUGAGAGUGAAGAGAGGUUUGCUGGGCAGUCAAAACAGAGGGGAGCCUUGAAGCUUCACGAAAGGCUCGUAGGCAUUGAAGUAUGGAGGGUGCCGUGGGCUGGAAGGAGUCUGAGGUUGUGGCUGGCAGGACAGGAGCGUAGCAGGGUCAGUUGAAUUUUAUGUAUCCUGAAAAGAAGUUUGGGACUUUUGACUGUAGGGGAUGGGGUGUAACAAGAUCCAAUUUGUGCUUUAGAAUUUUCUUCUGGCUGCUGGAGAAGAGGUUUGUGAAUGGAGGGAGGCCUGGGAGCCUUUCAGUAGGAAAUGAGAGGGCUUCUCCCGAGGUUUGAGUGAACGCAGAGCAGCAGAGGUGAGGGAGGCGCAGGUGGAAGAUACUGAAGGGGUAGCAGCAGGAGGAUUUACUGACACCUGGAUGUGCAAAAGGAGGAGAGAGAGAGGCGAGCCUUGGGGAAUUGAUGGGUUUUUAUCUUGAGCGAGUGGCCUGCUGGAGGGGCCAUUAUCCUGGCGUGGGUACCCAGAGUCAGUUAUCUGGGUGCAGGAUGGAGUUGGAGUAAUAGAUAACUUUGGUUUCAGUCAUCCUCAUUUUUGACCAUAUGCAGAAGGUCCAUAACUGGGUCUGGAGUGGACAAGAGCCAUUUCCUCCAUUUCAGGAGGAGCCUCGGUGCCAAUAACAAGAGUGAAAGCAUCGAAGGGACCAGAAGGAGAACAUCCAAGUGAUGAGACGAGGACCAAGCCUGGGGCCGAGGAGCAUCCAAGGAGGUGGAGGAGCUCACGAAGGAGACAGGGAAUUGAGAGGGGUCGGGAGUCAAGGAAUCCAAUGGAAGAUAGAGGUUCAAGAAGUUGAGUGUGUUGGAGUUCCCACUGUAGUCAGUGGGUUAAGGGUUUGACAUGAUAUCCAUGAGGAUAUGGGUUCAAUCCCUGGCCUUGCUUAGUGAGUUAAGUGUCCAGCAUUGCUGCAAGCUGAGGCAUAGGUCACAGGUGUGGCUUGGAUCCUGUGUGGCUGUGGCCGUGGCUGGCAGCUGCAGCUCCUAUUCAACCCCUAGCUCGGGAACUGCCAUAUGCGACAGGUGCAGC